rnacentral:rRNA from 1 species
GAUGAACGCUGGCGGCGUGCCUAAUACAUGCAAGUCGAGCGAACAGACGAGGAGCUUGCUCCUCUGACGUUAGCGGCGGACGGGUGAGUAACACGUGGAUAACCUACCUAUAAGACUGGGAUAACUUCGGGAAACCGGAGCUAAUACCGGAUAACAUGUUGAACCGCAUGGUUCAACAGUGAAAGCCGGUCUUGCUGUCACUUAUAGAUGGAUCCGCGCCGCAUUAGCUAGUUGGUAAGGUAACGGCUUACCAAGGCAACGAUGCGUAGCCGACCUGAGAGGGUGAUCGGCCACACUGGAACUGAGACACGGUCCAGACUCCUACGGGAGGCAGCAGUAGGGAAUCUUCCGCAAUGGGCGAAAGCCUGACGGAGCAACGCCGCGUGAGUGAAGAAGGUCUUCGGAUCGUAAAACUCUGUUAUUAGGGAAGAACAAAUGUGUAAGUAACUAUGCACGUCUUGACGGUACCUAAUCAGAAAGCCACGGCUAACUACGUG